ensembl:lncRNA
CGACUUUGUUGCAGAGUUACCAACUGGAUAAUAUCAAAGCUAAAAUAAUGGCAGUUUUUCUCACGUUACAGUAGAAGAUUAUCCAGAACUGUACAAGGUUAAAAAGGUAACAUGUAGUUUGUCCCAAGGUGUCUGCCUCCUCACCCAGAGCCAGACCUCCACCUCCUCACCCAGAGCCAGACCUCCACCUCCUGUCAGAAGACCUCCAGAACAGUAUCUGAAAGGCGAGGCUGAGAGGCUGGGGACCGAGGCUUGUGGUGCCAGGAUGGACCGGAGACUGAGGCUGGAGACCAGGGGCCUGCAGCACCGGACCAGAGGACCAGGAAUCCAUGUCUGGAGGAGCCGUGCUGAUGGAGGAGCCGUGCUGAAGGAGCUGAUGGAGGAGCCCUGCUGAAGGCCCUGCCUGGUGGAGGAGCUGGUGGAGGCCCUGCCUGGUGAAGGACGUCUGUCGUGGGACCAGGACUCUGUCUGAGGAGAGCUGCUGGAGGAGCUGAGACGCUGGAGGACGCCUAGGAAUCGACCAACAAGGAUUCCUCAACGUGUUUCUGGAGCGGAGGUGAGCUGGUUGGGGAGCCGUGAAUCUGGAGGAUGACCAUCAGUCUACCAACAAGGAUUGGAAGUUUGUAUUUACCUAACAAAGUGGAAAUAAAGGGCUUUAAAAUAAGACAAACUACAUAUUUGUUUCCAGACGUUGGGGCCCUGUUUG